UUGAACGCUGGCGGCAGGCCUCACCCAUGCAAGUCGAGCGGAUGAAGGGAGCUUGCUCCUGGAUUCAGCGGCGGACGGGUGAGUAAUGCCUAGGAAUCUGCCUGGUAGUGGGGGAUAACGUCCGGAAACGGGCGCUAAUACCGCAUACGUCCUGAGGGAGAAAGUGGGGGAUCUUCGGACCUCACGCUAUCAGACGAGCCUAGGUCGGAUUAGCUAGUUGGUGGGGUAAAGGCCUACCAAGGCGACGAUCCGUAACUGGUCUGAGAGGAUGAUCAGUCACACUGGAACUGAGACACGGUCCAGACUCCUACGGGAGGCAGCAGUGGGGAAUAUUGGACAAUGGGCGAAAGCCUGAUCCAGCCAUGCCGCGUGUGUGAAGAAGGUCUUCGGAUUGUAAAGCACUUUAAGUUGGGAGGAAGGGCAGUAAGUUAAUACCUUGCUGUUUUGACGUUACCAACAGAAUAAGCACCGGCUAACUUCGUG
rnacentral:rRNA from 1 species